CUAGCCUCAGGGAAAAGAUUGCAGGCGGUAGAGCACUGAUCAGGAGAGGGACCUACCCGGUUACCAAACCCAGUCAAACUCCGAAUGGCUGCAAUCAUACCUGGGAGUCAGACUGCGACUAAUAAGGGCCGCAGUCAAAAGGGAAACAGCCCAGACCAUCAGCUAAGGUCCCCAAUGCCGUGCUAAGUGGAAAAGGAUGUGGCAUUUCAUAAACAACCAGGAUGUUGGCUCAGAAGCAGCCACCAUUUAAAGAGUGCGUAAUAGCUCACUGGUCGAGAGACGCUGCGCCGAAAAUGUCCGGGGCUCAAGCACGGAACCGAAGCUAUGGCAUGAUAGCAAUAUCAUGGGUAGGGGAGCGUUCUUAUAAGGAAGAAGCAUGACCGGAAGGACAUGUGGACAAAUAAGAAGUGAGAAUGCCGGUAUGAGUAUCGAAAAGAAAGGUGAGAAUCCUUUCCACCGAAAGCCCGAGGGUUCCUGAGCAACGAUCGUCGACUCAGGGUAAGUCGGGACCUAAGCCGAGGCGGAAAGCGUAGGCGAUGGACAACAGGUUGAAAUUCCUGUACCGGAUCAAGUCGAUUGAGCGAAGGAGCGACGCAGGAGGGCACAUGAUCGCGCGGCUGGAAGAGCGCGUCCAAGUGCGUAUGUUGCAGCAGAGGAAAACCCCUGCAGCUGAAAGCAGAGACAUGAAGGGGAGUUAAAGGAAACUUUGACGAACUCAUGAAUCCCACACUGCCAAGAAAAACUUCUAGCGAGACAAGAUCCGCCCGUACCGUAAACCGACACAGGUAGGCGGGGAGAGAAUCCUAAGGUGCGCGGGAAAACCCUCGUUAAGGAACUCGGCAAAUUGCAUCCGUAACCUAGGGAGAAGGAUGGCCCCCGGUCAGUGAAGAGCAGAAACGCUCAGAGCUAAAAGGGGCGGCAGAAAAGAGGCCCAAGCAACUGUUUACCAAAAACACAGGUGCCUGCGAAAGCGAAAGCUGAAGUAUAGGUGCUGACGCCUGCCCGGUGCCGGAAGGUUAAGGAGAGAAGUUAGCGAAAGCGAAGCAUCGAACUGAAGCCCCGGUGAACGGCGGCCGUAACUAUAACGGUCCUAAGGUAGCGAAAUUCCUUGUCGGGUAAGUUCCGACCCGCAUGAAAGGCGUAAUGAUUUGGGCACUGUCUCAACGAGGGGCCCGGUGAAAUUGAAAUACCUGUGAAGAUGCAGGUUACCCGCGACUGGACAGAAAGACCCCAUGGAGCUUCACUGCAGCUUGAGAUUGAAUCCCGGUGACAGAUGCACAGGAUAGGUGGGAGGCGCCGAAGCAUUGCCCUAGGGCGGUGCGGAGCCGAUGUUGGGAUACCACCCUUCUGUUGCUGAGAUUCUAACGCGAGGAGUAACGACCCUGCGGACCCUCUCAGGCAGGCGGUUUGACUGGGGCGGUCGCCUCCGAAAGAGUAACGGAGGCGCCCAAAGGUUCCCUCAGGCCGGACAGAAACCGGCCGAAGAGUGCAAAGGCAGAAGGGAGCUUGACUGCGAGACCAACAAGUCGAGCAGAGACGAAAGUCGGGCUUAGUGAUCCGGUGGUACUGAGUGGAAAGGCCAUCGCUCAACGGAUAAAAGCUACCCUGGGGAUAACAGGCUAAUCUCUCCCAAGAGUUCAUAUCGACGGGGAGGUUUGGCACCUCGAUGUCGGCUCAUCACAUCCUGGGGCUGAAGUCGGUCCCAAGGGUUGGGCUGUUCGCCCAUUAAAGUGGUACGCGAGCUGGGUUCAGAACGUCGUGAGACAGUUCGGUCCCUAU
rnacentral:rRNA from 1 species